rnacentral:misc_RNA from 1 species
GUGAAUGGCUUGUGAAUAUUUUUGAUAAAAGUUGAUAGUUGGUGUUCCUUUAUUGAGAUAUAUGGACCAAUUUAAACACAGAUUUAGGCUUGUUUAAUAAAUGAACCAAACCUGAAUAUAGGUGAGUUUGGCUUGAUUAUGUUUGUGAAAGUGUUUGUUUAUGCUUGUUUAUUUAGUCAUUUAAGAUUUGAAGAGAGUUUUUU